GGGUAGAUGGCGAAACUGGUAGACGCGUCAUAUUCAAAAUAUGAUAAUUCAUAAUUGUAAGGGUUCGAUUCCCUUUCUACCUA
rnacentral:tRNA from 1 species